CCAGGCCCGGCCCCUGCCCCUCGGCCACACGUGGGAGGGCCCGGCGUGCGUGUGAGACACGGACAUGCGGGGGCGUGUGCACACUGAGAUGUAUGCCCCACGUGCGCCUGUGGGCGUGUGUGUGCAGACAUGCCACUGACACUGGGAGGAGUGUGAAUACCUGUGCCUAACCCUUCUAGGAGCAAUGGAGGUGAAGGUUCCCCAUCCAGAGCAUGGGACACAUUGCAAUUUUCCCAGCUUGAAAGAAAGGCCUGAAGCUGAAGGGGCUAUAUACAAGUACUCCAAAUCAUAGGGAGGCCCAGACUCUCAUCUGAAUAAAAUAAAAGCUCUGUUCCAGCAUGUGUACUAUC